GGGUCUAUAGCUCAGGUGGUUAGAGCGCACGCCUGAUAAGCGUGAGGUCGAUGGUUCGAGUCCAUUUAGACCCACCA
rnacentral:tRNA from 18 species